rnacentral:rRNA from 1 species
GGACUACCGGGGUUUCUAAUCCUGUUCGCUCCCCACGCUUUCGCGCCUCAGCGUCAGUAUGAUGCCAGGUGGCUGCCUUCGCCAUCGACGUUCCUUCCGAUCUCUACGCAUUUCACCGCUACACCGGAAAUUCCGCCACCCUCUCAUCUACUCCAGUCAUGUCGUUUGCGAUGCACUUCCCAGGUUAAGCCCGGGGCUUUCACAUCACACUCACAUCACCGCCUACGCGCCCUUUACGCCCAGUAACUCCGAUUAACGCUUGCACCCUCUGUAUUACCGCGGCUGCUGGCAC